rnacentral:rRNA from 1 species
UGAGGAAUUUUGCGCAAUGGGCGAAGCCUGACGCAGCGACGCCGCGAGAGGGAUGACGGCCUUCGGGUUGUAAACCUCUUUCAGCAGGGACGAAUGUAGACGGUACCUGUAGAAGAAGCACCGGCCAACUACGUGCCAGCAGCCGCGGUAAUACGUAGGGUGCGAGCGUUGUCCGGAAUUAUUGGGCGUAAGGAGCUCGUAGGCGGUCUGUCGCGUCGAAUGUGAAAACCCGGGGCUCAACUCCGGUCUUGCAUUCGAUACGGGCAGGCUAGAGUUCGGUAGGGGAGUCUGGAAUUCCUGGUGUAGCGGUGAAAUGCGCAGAUAUCAGGAGGAACACCGGUGGCGAAGGCGGGACUCUGGGCCGAUACUGACGCUGAGGAGCGAAAGCGUGGGGAGCGAACA